UUUGAUUUUAGAUUAAUACUUAAAAUUCAAAGAGUUUAACAUUUAUUAUCAGCCCCCUCUGACCACUUUUCUUUCUUUCUUUUUUUUUUUUUGAAACCUCCAGGUAACCUGUGAUGGGAGCAAGCUCAUCCUCAGAAGCCUCAAGGCAGAGUGUUCCUCCUGAGUCUUUUCAGCCUCUGAUAACCAUCAAUCUACUCUCUGCCUCUAGGAGACCCACUUUUUCAGCUCCCACAUGUGAGUGAGAAUAUCUAACAUUUGUUUUUGUGUUUCUGGUUUAUUUUACACAACAUAAUGACCUCCAGUUUUAUCCAUGUUGUUGUGAAUAACAGGAUUUCAUUCUAUUUUGUGGCUGAAUAAUAUCUCAUUGUGUAUAUGUACC
rnacentral:lncRNA from 13 species